rnacentral:rRNA from 1 species
AUUGAACGCUGGCGGCAGGCUUAACACAUGCAAGUCGAGCGGAGUGAUGGUGCUUGCACUAUCACUUAGCGGCGGACGGGUGAGUAAUGCUUAGGAAUCUGCCAUUUAGUGGGGGACAACAUUCCGAAAGGAAUGCUAAUACCGCAUACGUCCUACGGGAGAAAGCAGGGGAUCUGCGGACCUUGCGCUAAAUGAUGAGCCUAAGUCGGAGUAGCUAGUUGGUGGGGUAAAGGCCUACCAAGGCGACGAUCUGUAGCGGGUCUGAGAGGAUGAUCCGCCACACUGGGACUGAGACACGGCCCAGACUCCUACGGGAGGCAGCAGUGGGGAAUAUUGGACAAUGGGCGGAAGCCUGAUCCAGCCAUGCCGCGUGUGUGAAGAAGGCCUUUUGGUUGUAAAGCACUGUAAGCGAGGAGGAGGCUACUAGUACUAAUACUACUGGAUAGUGGACGUUACUCGCAGAAUAAGCACCGGCUAACUCUGUGCCAGCCGCCGCCGUAAAAC